CCCGCCACUAUACCAGUCUGCUGUGGCUUGGUGUAUUCCAGUGGUGAGCUGAGAACAACCUCUCCUCUUAGGAAACAGGGCUUUUCUGUGUGUGUGAUCAUCCCUGUGCCGAAAGAUGGAAGACAGUC
rnacentral:snoRNA from 1 species